CUCCCAGGAAUCAGUACCUGCUUGCUGCUUUGAGAACCAGGAAAUGCUGCGAUUGGAGGUGCCAGUUCUUCAGAGCAGAAAGUUCUAGGAAUUUGAAAUUCUGAUUCCGCUCCUGAGUUCACACCCUGACUUCCUGACUAGGUAAUUCCUUAGAAGAUAACAUUCCUUUCACAGUCCUGUAAGGGGUCACCGAUGACCCACCACACAGCUUGAGAGCAGCUUACUGCUACAUGUUUGUUCCCAAGAGGUCAGUCCCCAAAAUGCCCCACCUGGACUGCAGGAGACGGGGUCAAAAGAUACUGCUGCCCCAGCUGCCAACUGGGGGUGACGUCAGCAGAGAAGCCGGGACGGCAGAGGGCUGCUGAGCUGACCUGCCGCCCCUUCCCUUGCAGACGCCGUGAAAGCAGCGUUGACAGCCUGAGACCUCCUGAUGUGCCGGUUCACCUUAAGCUUGUCUUAGUAGCUAUGAUUUUAGAUGGUCAGCUUU